rnacentral:lncRNA from 10 species
UGACAAAUGAAGUGAAAAUGGCCAGUUCCUGCCUUAACUGAUGACAUUACCUUGUGAAAUUCCUUCUCAUGGCUCAUCCUGGCUCAAAAGCUCCCCCACUGAGCACCUUGUGACCCCCACCCCUGCCAGACAGAGAACAACCCCCUUUGACUGUAAUUUUCCACUACCUACCCAAAUCCUACAAAACAGCCCCAUCCCUAUCUCCCUUUGCUAACUCUCUUUUCCGACUCAGCCCGCCUGUACCCAGGUGAUUAAAAAGCUUUAUUGCUCACACAAAGCCUCUUUGGUGGUCUCUUCACACAGACCCAUGUGAAAUUUGGUGCCGUGACUCAGAUCGGGGGACCUCCCUUGGGAGAUCAAUCCCUGGUCCUCCUGCUCUUUGCUACAUGAGAAAGAUCCACCUACGACCUCUGGUCCUCAGACCAACCAGUCCAAGGAAUAUCUCACCAAUUUUAAAUUGGAAGACAGCAAUGUCAGACCUCUGAACCCAAGCAUGCACGUAUUCAUCCAGAUUGCCUGAAGUAACUGAAGAAUGACAAAAGAAGUGAAAAUGGCCAGUUCCUGCCUUAAUUGAUGACAUCACCUUGUGAAAUUCCUUUUCCUGGCUCAUCCUGGCUCAAAAGCUCCCCCACUGAGCACCUUAUGACCCCCACCCCUGCCAGCCAGAGAACAACCUCCUUUGACUGUAAUUUUCCACUACCUACCCAAAUCCUAUAAAACAGCCCCACCCCUAUCUCCCUUCACUGGCUUUCUUUUCGGACUCAGCUUGCCUGCACCCAGGUGAAAUAAACAGCUUUAUUGCUCACACAAAGCCUGUUUGGUGAACUCUUCACACACAAGUGCAUGAAAUUUCCCAUCUGAAAGUAUUUGGUGCAUUCUUAUAUUAUGAAAUAUAAAGUUUAAGAAUCUUCACAUGGCAUUUAUUGCAUUGAUUUUUAUCCAGAUCUUUCAAAAACCUGUUCCCCAGGAACUCCAUUCAUAUACUAGACACAGGAUUAUUCUACCACAUAAGAGUGUGCACAUAAAUUUAGUAUACCAGAGAAUGCAUAUUACUACCCAAUUUUUAAACCAAAAUAUAUAUAUUUUUUCAUUUAUUUAACACCUUA